rnacentral:rRNA from 1 species
UUAGAUACCCUUGUAGUCCACGCCGUAAACGAUGAAUACUAGGUGUUGGUGGGCAAAGCCCAUCGGUGCCGCCGCAAACGCAGUAAGUAUUCCACCUGGGGAGUACGUUCGCAAGAAUGAAACUCAAAGAAAUUGACGGGGACCCGCACAAGCGGUGGAGCAUGUGGUUUAAUUCGAA